AAGAAGGUGGCUGUAUGGACUUCACUAGAAGUUGACCAGACUGGACUGGAUUUUAAGGAGAGCCUGAGUCACAUCACCCUCAGCUGUCUAGCCCUCCUCCACCCCUCCCUCCUCCCUACAGUCAGACAGGAUGUCCUGUGGACAGGCAGAGAUCGGGGGACCCGGGGGCCACUGGGGCCCCCCAUCAAAAGUUUCCACUUAGGGUUUGGCCUGAAGAUGAGGGAAACAGUUUUCAGUUUUGCCUCCACAAGUUGUGUUCCUUGUCAGGAUAUGGGAGACAUAUGGACUACAGGCUUGUNNNNNNNNNNAAGAUUAUUAUUAGAGAUAAAUGAAAUAAACACCCAGGAUCUUUUAAACCGUUCUCACUCUAUUUGAUUACAUAUAAACCAUUAUUUUUUUUUAUUAAAAAGCAUUAUGCACUCAAAACAACCUCGUGGAUCUCCCUCCCCUGUCCUCACAAAUUAUACUACUAAAUAGCUUCAGAAAACACUAUAAUUCCUAAUCAGUACACCAUCAAAAUGUGAUUAUCAGGGGUAAUUGUCCAAGACAGUCCUAUUUGUGAUGCUCCCCCAGAUGAAUCGGAGGGAGAAAUGUGGUUCAAAUGAAUGGGAGCUAAACUGGAACCCGCCUUUCAAGAGGACGACAGAGACAACAGAACUAAAUGUUAUCUUCAGGUCACUGUGUGUGUAGCUAAUCUCCCUUAGUCAUGUAUGGUGCUGAGGGAUGAGAUGUGUCAUAUGUCAAUUGUAGGCUAGUAGCUGAAAAGAUACCCGAUAAAGAUGUGUUUGGCUUCCUCUCACAUGUAGCUUUUGAAUGCCAAUGCUGCAGCAUUACAUCAUGUCAUAGCGUUACGACUUGUCAUAGCUUUAUGAAUUGUCAUGGCAUUACCACGCCAUGGCAUUAAAUCAAAUCAAAUUGGAUUUGUCACGUGCUUCGUAAACAACAGGUGGAUACUAAGAGUGGAAUGCUUCCCAACAAUGUAGAGAGAAAAAAAGAGAAAUACUAGAAAAAUAAUACGAGGAGUAAAUACACGAGUAAUGACAACAUGGCUAUAUUCCCAGGGUACCAGUACUGACUCGAUGUGCAGGGGUACGAGGUAAUUGAGGUAGAUAUGUACUGUACAUAUACAAGUAGGAAUAAAGUGACAGAUAAUAAACAGUAGCAGCAGCGUAUGUGAUGAGUCAAAAGAUACAGUGUGCAGAUGUUCCGGGUAGCUAUUGGUUAACUAUUAGAAUAAGCUGUUCAGCAGAGCAUUUACAACUAGUCCUGGACAUUCCUGAUUCAUAGAAUAGCAUGCUGACCGUCACGGUAUGGUGUCAGGCACCUUGUAGCUCAGCAUGUACUAUGAAGUCAGACUUUGUCACCUCUCUGCAGUGGCUUCCAUCCAUAUCCAUGGUCCCUUUAUCCCACUCUGCUCUCUCUCUCUCUCUCUCUCUGCUUAUAUGGUGCACAUACAAGACCCUGUGACCAAACAGUCUGGGGAAUCCGACGCAUGUUGAAGUCAUUCCCUUCAAAUCAGCACUGGAAGCCUUGUGUGUGCGCGUGUGUGCACGUGUGUACGAGCGUGUUUGCUGCAGGGGAAUUGCUCUGCCCAUCUCUCCUGGCCAGGUUGUAGAUUCAGAAUGGGCCUGGGCGUGUCCAGCAUUGCUUGUUGGGACUUUUGAGGCACACCAUGUGCUCUCGUGAUCUGCCCUGAAUCAGCCCCUAUUAAAAAUACACAAAGAGACCCUUUCAGGUGCUGGCUAGCCGCAGCCACCAGACCUCCGGCCUAGAGCCCCUAGUCCUCAUCCAAAACACAGGCCAGCCAGAGGAGAGGAACAUCAAAGGCCCCCAUCAUCCUGUCACUUAGCCAUGUAGAGGUCACCGGGGUCAGACCACUACCUCUCUACACAGUGACGUUCUGUCUGUCUGGUAAUGUGUCGGAGAAUGUGGAGAAUCUGAUUUGAAUAUGUUUUUUUUUUAGGGAAGAAAAGAUUUUGAGGGAAUGAAAUAGUGAAAUAAAGUUGUUUUGAUGAAGCAGGAUUGUAUUUUAUUUUUUAUAACCUCUCAUAAUACAGUAUCAAUGUAAAUAUUGGGUAAGUAAUGCCUUUGCUCUCCUAUUCAUCUAGUGAAUCAAAGUAAGGGCCAGGAGUUAUUCUUUACGACAUGAUCUGACCAGUAAAAACUCAUGACCCUGGUCAUACUGUAGACACACCGGUAGGUUUGUGCAGAGGAUGACUGAAUCCCACUGUGUUUCAGCUCAGCCAUAUUAGCUUCCCAACUAAUGUUAAGUCAAUCAACUCUGAAGGAGUCAGUUACCACAUGUUGGUUACUUCCAAUACCAUACUAAUCUGAUUUAGUAUGUCAUUCAGUCAUAAAGUCCUUGACCUGGCCUGACUACAAUGUCCCAGUCCCACACCCCUUAUCCCUGACCACAGUGAUUAAGGACAGUGUCCUAGGCUGCGGGCUACAGCAAUUUGCCAUAGACCUGACUACUCACUCAGCCUCUCAGUCAGUCAGCUAGCUAGGCCUGAUUAUAGCCGGCUUUUCUCUGGCUUUCAACUCAGCCUGCCAGAUUGCGUGGCUACUACGAUGGCAGAGCACAGCCCUGCCUACACUUUGCCGUCGUGCAACAGUUCAACUUUGAAAACCGCGAUGGGAUAACAGGCAAAAUCUCCCUGAGCUCAGAUGUAAGAACAAAACAACAAACAAAACAAACGUGGCUGAGUUGUCUUCCCCAGAGUGUGUUUAAGCCUGAACAAUUAACAGUGUCAACUGUCAACUGUUGAAGGGAUGAUCAGAAGCGUCACCACUUAAAGGUGACUGACACUGACAGGGAAUUCAGUGAGACACAAGUAGGUUUCCUAAUGCUGUCAAGAUAACUUGAUGUUAUCUGUCCUUUUGCUGUCUCUUUGCCCAUGAAAUGUUGAAAUGCCGUUCCUAAGAUAGUGCUCUUGUGACACACC
rnacentral:lncRNA from 13 species